CAAGCGUUAUCCGGAAUCAUUGGGUUUAAAGGGUCCGUAGGCGGUUUUUUAAGUCCGUGGUGAAAUCUGGUCGCUCAACGAUCAAACGGCCAUUGAUACUGUAGAACUUGAAUUACUUGGAAGUAACUAGAAUAUGUAGUGUAGCGGUGAAAUGCUUAGAUAUGGCACAGAACACCAAUAGUGAAGACAGCUUACGAGGGCGAAACUGACGCUGAGGCACGAAAGCGUGGGGAUCGAACAGG
rnacentral:rRNA from 1 species